GUAGGUCACUGUGACACUGUAAUUCACGAUUAAAGAUUAUAUUAAAUUAAAUUGUUUCUUAAAUCGUGCUGUAAAAUGUAAAUUGUAAUCCAAACGUUAAAGACAACAUUUUAUUUUAUUAUCAAUAAUAUUAGAAACAUUCAUAGUAAUAGCACAGAAUAUAUGAAAUUUCAUAUAUUCUGUGGUAAUAGUAAGUUCAUACCGCGGGCAACGACACGGUUAUCAAUUAUCAGCCUCUGUUGUUGUUGUUGUUGUUACUUUAUGGUUGUUUUCGGGGAUUAUAAUAAAUAUAAUAAUAAUCAUAAUCAUUUGUAUUUUAACUUGUAAUCAGUAACUAUGUGCGAAACGAAAACAAUUUAAAAUAAUACUUAUAAAACCAAUUUUGUGUAUGAAAUUUUUAUUUUUCAUCGAAACCGAAGUACAAAGAAAAAAAAUUGCUCAUGAUUUUGACUAUAAGUAGUUUGUUGAUGAUGUUUGCUAAUCUCAUGCAACAAACAAAAAAAAUUAUUCAAGAAAAGUAUUUAAAAAACGACAGUGGAAAUACGACGGUAAACCCGAUUGCAAUUGAGGCUACUGACGAACAACUCGACGAAAAAACACAUGAAUUGAAGGACCAAAUCUAUGAUAUUAUUAGAACAAUUAAGGAUCCGGAGAAACCAGCUACGCUGGAAGACCUUAGUGUCGUGUAUGAAAAUGGAGUAGAGGUAAUUAAUCAAAGAAACUUGAAACUAUAUACUGUCCGAAUUGAAUUUAAUCCUACAGUACCACAUUGCAGUUUAGCUACUUUAAUUGGCCUUAGCAUAAGGAUUAAAGUUAUAAGAUCUAUUUUGGAGAAUGUUAAAUUGGAUAUAUACAUUAAAGAAGGUGCUCACACAACUGAAGAAGAAAUUAACAAACAAAUAAACGAUAAAGAACGUGUUGCAGCUGCAAUGGAAAAUCCAAGUUUAAGAGAUGUAGUGGAAAAAUGUAUAAAAGAGGAAGAAUAAAAUGCCAGAUAUAAAAGCCGGAAUUCUAUUUCUACUGUCCAAAGGCAUUAUUGAAAUGACAAAUGCAUGUGAAAAUGGCCACGAAAUGUUUAUAAAAGGGUCGAGAUGGCAAUGUCAACGAAGGGAUUGUUGUAAAGAGAAGGUGACGUAUUGCAAACGU